rnacentral:rRNA from 1 species
CCAGACUCCUACGGGAGGCAGCAGUGGGGAAUCUUCCGCAAUGGGCGCAAGCCUGACGGAGCAACGCCGCGUGAGUGAAGAAGGUCUUCGGAUCGUAAAGCUCUGUUGAUGGGGACGAACGUGCCUAAUGCGAAUAGUUUUAGGCAAUGACGGUACCCAUCGAGGAAGCCACGGCUAACUACGUGCCAGCAGCCGCGGUAAUACGUAGGUGGCGAGCGUUGUCCGGAAUCAUUGGGCGUAAAGGGAGCGCAGGCGGGCAUGUAAGUCUUUCUUAAAAGUGCGGGGCUCAACCCCGUGAUGGGAAAGAAACUAUGUGUCUUGAGUACAGGAGAGGAAAGCGGAAUUCCCAGUGUAGCGGUGAAAUGCGUAGAUAUUGGGAGGAACACCAGUGGCGAAGGCGGCUUUCUGGACUGCAACUGACGCUGAGGCUCGAAAGCCAGGGGAGCGAACGGGAUUAGAUACCCCGGUAGUCCUGGCCGUAAACGAUGGAUACUAGGUGUGGGAGGUAUCGACCCCUACCGUGCCGGAGUUAACGCAAUAAGUAUCCCGCCUGGGGAGUACGGCCGCAAGGCUGAAACUCAAAGGAAUUGACGGGGGCCCGCACAAG